rnacentral:rRNA from 1 species
GAUGAACGCUAGCGGCAGGCUUAACACAUGCAAGUCGAGGGGCAUCGGGAGGGAAGCUUGCUUUCCUUGCCGGCGACCGGCGCACGGGUGAGUAACACGUAUGCAACCUGCCCUCUUCAGGGGGACAACCUUCCGAAAGGGAGGCUAAUCCCGCGUAUAUCGGUUUCGGGCAUCCGAGAUCGAGGAAAGAUUCAUCGGAAGAGGAUGGGCAUGCGGCGCAUUAGCUUGACGGCGGGGUAACGGCCCACCGUGGCGACGAUGCGUAGGGGUUCUGAGAGGAAGGUCCCCCACACUGGUACUGAGACGCGGACCAGACUCCUACGGGAGGCAGCAGUGAGGAAUAUUGGUCAAUGGGAGAGAUCCUGAACCAGCCAAGCCGCGUGAGGGAAGACGGCCCUAUGGGUUGUAAACCUCUUUUGUCGGAGAACAAAACCCGGGACGUGUCCCGGACUGCGUGUAUCCGAAGAAAAAGCAUCGGCUAACUCCGUGCCAGCAGCCGCGGUAAUACGGAGGAUGCGAGCGUUAUCCGGAUUUAUUGGGUUUAAAGGGUGCGUAGGCGGUCCGUUAAGUCAGCGGUAAAAUUGCGGGGCUCAACCCCGUCGAGCCGUUGAAACUGGCAGACUUGAGUUGGCGAGAAGUACGCGGAAUGCGCGGUGUAGCGGUGAAAUGCAUAGAUAUCGCGCAGAACUCCGAUUGCGAAGGCAGCGUACCGGCGCCACACUGACGCUGAGGCACGAAAGCGUGGGGAUCGAACAGGAUUAGAUACCCUGGUAGUCCACGCAGUAAACGAUGAAUGCUGGUUGUCCGGGUCGAAUGAGAUCUGGGCGGCGAAGCGAAAGCGAUAAGCAUUCCACCUGGGGAGUACGCCGGCAACGGUGAAACUCAAAGGAAUUGACGGGGGCCCGCACAAGCGGAGGAACAUGUGGUUUAAUUCGAUGAUACGCGAGGAACCUUACCCGGGCUCAAACGGGAGCGGAAUGGACCAGAGACGGUUCAGCCUACGGGCCGCUUCCGAGGUGCUGCAUGGUUGUCGUCAGCUCGUGCCGUGAGGUGUCGGCUUAAGUGCCAUAACGAGCGCAACCCCCGCCGGCAGUUGCUAACGGGCAAUGCCGAGGACUCUGCCGGGACUGCCGCCGCAAGGCGAGAGGAAGGCGGGGAUGACGUCAAAUCAGCACGGCCCUUACGUCCGGGGCGACACACGUGUUACAAUGGGCGGUACAGCGGGAAGCCAGGCGGCGACGCCGAGCGGAACCCGAAAGCCGUUCUCAGUUCGGAUCGGAGUCUGCAACCCGACUCCGUGAAGCUGGAUUCGCUAGUAAUCGCGCAUCAGCCAUGGCGCGGUGAAUACGUUCCCGGGCCUUGUACACACCGCCCGUCACACCAUGAGAGUUGGGAAUACCCGAAGCCUGUGAGCUAACGAAAGAGGCAGCAGUCGAAGGUAGAAUCAAUGAUUGGGGUG